UACGGAGGGGGCUAGCGUUUGUUCGGAAUUACUGGGCGUAAAGCGCACGUAGGCGGCUUUGCAAGUUAGAGGUGAAAGCCCGGAGCUUAACUCCGGAAUUGCCUUUAAAACUGCAUCGCUAGAAUUGUGGAGAGGUGAGUGGAAUUCCGAGUGUAGAGGUGAAAUUCGUAGAUAUUCGGAAGAACACCAGUGGCGAAGGCGACUCACUGGACACAUAUUGACGCUGAGGUGCGAAAGCGUGGGGAGCAAACAGG
rnacentral:rRNA from 1 species